UACGUAGGGUGCGAGCGUUGUCCGGAAUUAUUGGGCGUAAAGGGCUCGUAGGCGGUUUGUCGCGUCGGGAGUGAAAACCCAGGGCUUAACUCUGGGCUGGCUUCCGAUACGGGCAGACUAGAGGCAUGCAGGGGAGAACGGAAUUCCUGGUGUAGCGGUGAAAUGCGCAGAUAUCAGGAGGAACACCGGUGGCGAAGGCGGUUCUCUGGGCAUGUCCUGACGCUGAGGAGCGAAAGUGUGGGGAGCGAACAGG
rnacentral:rRNA from 1 species